rnacentral:rRNA from 1 species
ACGGAAGGCAGCAGUGGGGAAUAUUGCACAAUGGGGGAAACCCUGAUGCAGCGACGCCGCGUGAAGGAAGAAGUAUCUCGGUAUGUAAACUUCUAUCAGCAGGGGAGAAAAUGACGGUACCUGACUAAGAAGCCCCGGCUAACUACGUGCCAGCAGCCGCGGUAAUACGUAGGGGGCAAGCGUUAUCCGGAUUUACUGGGUGUAAAGGGAGCGUAGACGGAAUUGCAAGUCUGAUGUGAAAGGCAUGGGCUCGACCUGUGGACUGCAUUGGAAACUGUGAUUCUUGAGUGCCGGAGGGGUAAGCGGAAUUCCUGGUGUAGCGGUGAAAUGCGUAGAUAUCAGGAGGAACACCGGUGGCGAAGGCGGCUUACUGGACGGCAACUGACGUUGAGGCUCGAAGGCGUGGGGAGCAAACAGGAUUAGAUACCCUGGUA